GAUGAACGCUAGCGGCAGGCCUAACACAUGCAAGUCGAGGGGCAUCAGGGGUAGCAAUACCUGCUGGCGACCGGCGCACGGGUGAGUAACGCGUAUGCAACCUGCCCGCCACAGGGGGAUAGCCCGCCGAAAGGCGGAUUAAUACCCCCAUCGCCCCGUUGUUCGGCAUCGGACGACGGGUAAAGGAGCAAUCCGGUGGCGGAUGGGCAUGCGUGCCAUUAGCUAGUUGGCGGGGUAACAGCCCACCAAGGCGACGAUGGCUAGGGGGUCUGAGAGGAUGGUCCCCCACACUGGUACUGAGACACGGACCAGACUCCUACGGGAGGCAGCAGUGAGGAAUAUUGGUCAAUGGGCGGAAGCCUGAACCAGCCAUGCCGCGUGCAGGAAGACGGCCCUACGGGUUGUAAACUGCUUUUCCGGGGGGAAGAAUAAUCCCGACGUGUCGGGAGACGACGGUACCCCGGGAAUAAGGAUCGGCUAACUCCGUG
rnacentral:rRNA from 1 species